rnacentral:rRNA from 1 species
UGGGGAAUAUUGCACAAUGGGCGCAAGCCUGAUGCAGCCAUGCCGCGUGUGUGAAGAAGGCCUUCGGGUUGUAAAGCACUUUCAGCGGGGAGGAAGGCGUUAAGGUUAAUAACCUUGGCGAUUGACGUUACCCGCAGAAGAAGCACCGGCUAACUCCGUGCCAGCAGCCGCGGUAAUACGGAGGGUGCAAGCGUUAAUCGGAAUUACUGGGCGUAAAGCGCACGCAGGCGGUUGAUUGAGUCAGAUGUGAAAUCCCCGGGCUUAACCCGGGAAUUGCAUCUGAUACUGGUCAGCUAGAGUCUUGUAGAGGGGGGUAGAAUUCCAUGUGUCGCGGUGAAAUGCGUAGAGAUGUGGAGGAAUACCGGUGGCGAAGGCGGCCCCCUGGACAAAGACUGACGCUCAGGUGCGAAAGCGUGGGGAGCAAACAGG